GAUGAACGCUGGCAGCGUGCUUAACACAUGCAAGUCGAACGGAAAGGCUCCUGCUUGCAGGGGUACUCGAGUGGCGAACGGGUGAGUAACACGUGGGUGAUCUGCCCUGCACUUCGGGAUAAGCCUGGGAAACUGGGUCUAAUACCGGAUAGGACCACAUUUUGGAUGGUGUGGUGGAAAGUUUUUCGGUGUGGGAUGAGCUCGCGGCCUAUCAGCUUGUUGGUGGGGUAAUGGUCUACCAAGGCGUCGACGGGUAGCCGGCCUGAGAGGGUGUACGGCCACAUUGGGACUGAGAUACGGCCCAGACUCCUACGGGAGGCAGCAGUGGGGAAUAUUGCACAAUGGGCGCAAGCCUGAUGCAGCGACGCCGCGUGGGGGAUGACGGCCUUCGGGUUGUAAACUCCUUUCGCUAGGGACGAAGCGUUUUUGUGACGGUACCUGGAGAAGAAGCACCGGCUAACUACGUG
rnacentral:rRNA from 1 species